GGUUCAAUGGUAGAACACUAGCCUUCCAAGCUUGUGACGAGGGUUCGAUUCCCUUC
rnacentral:tRNA from 1 species